rfam:Gossypium raimondii Chr05_contig_1344, whole genome shotgun sequence.
UAUUAAAAAUUUCAUCCAUUUUUACUAUUAAAAACUGGCAUAACUGACAGAAUAACUAGACAAUGACACAUGAUAUGCCACAUGUACCUAAUGUUAACAUACAUGGACCAAUUUUUAACAAUAGAAAUGGAUGAAAUUUUUAAUA